UACGUAGGUGGCAAGCGUUGUCCGGAUUUACUGGGCGUAAAGAGCGCGCAGGCGGUCGAUUAAGUCGAGUGUGAAAGCCCCCGGCUCAACUGGGGAGGGUCACUUGAUACUGGUCGACUCGAAGGCAGGAGAGGGAAGUGGAAUUCCCGGUGUAGUGGUGAAAUGCGUAGAUAUCGGGAGGAACACCGGUGGCGAAGGCGGCAUCCUGGACCGGCAUUGACGCUGAGGCGCGAAAGCCAGGGGAGCAAACGGG
rnacentral:rRNA from 1 species